GAUUGCCCUAGUAACGGCGAGUGAAGCGGCAACAGCUCAAAUUUGAAAUCUGGCGCUUUCAGCGUCCGAGUUGUAAUUUGUAGAGGAUGCUUCUGGGUAGCCACCGGUCUAAGUUCCUUGGAACAGGACGUCAUAGAGGGUGAGAAUCCCGUAUGCGACCGGCCGGCACCCUCCACGUAGCUCCUUCGACGAGUCGAGUUGUUUGGGAAUGCAGCUCUAAAUGGGAGGUAAAUUUCUUCUAAAGCUAAAUAUUGGCCAGAGACCGAUAGCGCACAAGUAGAGUGAUCGAAAGAUGAAAAGCACUUUGGAAAGAGAGUUAAAAAGCACGUGAAAUUGUUGAAAGGGAAGCGCUUGCAACCAGACUUGUCUGCGGUGUUCCGCCGGUCUUCUGACCGGUCUACUCAUCGUAUGCAGGCCAGCAUCAUUUGGGACCGCUGGAUAAAACCUUAGGAAUGUGGCUCCUCGGAGUGUUAUAGCCUGAGUUAAUGCAGUGAGUCCCGAGUGAGGUCCGCGCUUCGGCUAGGAUGCUGGCGUAAUGGUUGUAAGCGGCCCGUCUUGAAACACGGACCAAGGAGUCUAACAUCUAUGCGAGUGUUCGGGUGUCAAACCCCUACGCGUAAUGAAAGUGAACGGAGGUGGGAACCGCAAGGUGCACCAUCGACCGAUCCUGAUGUCUUCGGAUGGAUUUGAGUAAGAGCAUAGCUGUUGGGACCCGAAAGAUGGU
rnacentral:rRNA from 1 species